rnacentral:rRNA from 2 species
GCCAACCAUGCAGUCGAGCGGUAGAGAGAAGCUUGCUUCUCUUGAGAGCGGCGGACGGGUGAGUAAUGCCUAGGAAUCUGCCUGGUAGUGGGGGAUAACGUUCGGAAACGGACGCUAAUACCGCAUACGUCCUACGGGAGAAAGCAGGGGACCUUCGGGCCUUGCGCUAUCAGAUGAGCCUAGGUCGGAUUAGCUAGUUGGUGAGGUAAUGGCUCACCAAGGCGACGAUCCGUAACUGGUCUGAGAGGAUGAUCAGUCACACUGGAACUGAGACACGGUCCAGACUCCUACGGGAGGCAGCAGUGGGGAAUAUUGGACAAUGGGCGAAAGCCUGAUCCAGCCAUGCCGCGUGUGUGAAGAAGGUCUUCGGAUUGUAAAGCACUUUAAGUUGGGAGGAAGGGUUGUAGAUUAAUACUCUGCAAUUUUGACGUUACCGACAGAAUAAGCACCGGCUAACUCUGUGCCAGCAGCCGCGGUAAUACAGAGGGUGCAAGCGUUAAUCGGAAUUACUGGGCGUAAAGCGCGCGUAGGUGGUUUGUUAAGUUGGAUGUGAAAUCCCCGGGCUCAACCUGGGAACUGCAUUCAAAACUGACUGACUAGAGUAUGGUAGAGGGUGGUGGAAUUUCCUGUGUAGCGGUGAAAUGCGUAGAUAUAGGAAGGAACACCAGUGGCGAAGGCGACCACCUGGACUAAUACUGACACUGAGGUGCGAAAGCGUGGGGAGCAAACAGGAUUAGAUACCCUGGUAGUCCACGCCGUAAACGAUGUCAACUAGCCGUUGGAAGCCUUGAGCUUUUAGUGGCGCAGCUAACGCAUUAAGUUGACCGCCUGGGGAGUACGGCCGCAAGGUUAAAACUCAAAUGAAU